rnacentral:rRNA from 1 species
AUUGAACGCUGGCGGCAUGCUUUACACAUGCAAGUCGAACGGUAACAGGCCGCAAGGUGCUGACGAGUGGCGAACGGGUGAGUAAUGCAUCGGAACGUGCCCAGUCGUGGGGGAUAACGCAGCGAAAGCUGCGCUAAUACCGCAUACGAUCUAUGGAUGAAAGCGGGGGACCGAAAGGCCUCGCGCGAUUGGAGCGGCCGAUGUCAGACUAGGUAGUUGGUGGGGUAAAGGCUCACCUAGCCGACGAUCUGUAGCUGGUCUGAGAGGACGACCAGCCACACUGGGACUGAGACACGGCCCAGACUCCUACGGGAGGCAGCAGUGGGGAAUUUUGGACAAUGGGCGCAAGCCUGAUCCAACAAUGCCGCGUGCAGGAAGAAGGCCUUCGGGUUGUAAACUGCUUUUGUACGGAACGAAACGGUCUGCCCUAAUACGGUGGGCUAAUGACGGUACCGUAAGAAUAAGCACCGGCUAACUACGUGCCAGCCGCCGCCGUAACAC